rnacentral:rRNA from 1 species
AUGGAGAGAUACUCUCCGGCGCUACUCAAUACUACGACAUCCAUUAUCAUCUGGCCAGCCGCAAGCGUGAUAUCGAUCACUGGAAUAUCAGAAUAUGAAAAUGAGGAAAGUGAGCAAAACCGUUAUUCAUUAAUUCCCAAGUUUGAGGUGGUACGUACUAAUUCCUCUUUAUCCCUACCGCCCAGAUCCCUUCUUGGAUCUCUUCUAUCCAGAUCUCAACCACACAGUUUUGAGAUGGUUGGACUAUUGAACCGUUCCCGUGGCUUGGCGGAAGGUGUGGCGGUUAUGAUAUGCCCAGUGCUUCUCGCACUUGCUCUAAACAUAGUUGACCUCAAUGAUGAAGUCUACGGACAUGGAGUCCCCAUUGCCUUGAUUGCCAUGGCAGGCUUUACUUUGAUCACCGGCAUUUGCCCCUUCAUGGUGUGCUGCUUCUUACAAGGGUGCCCCAGAAGUAGCGUGAUUCUGGCAAUCACUUCGUCUGCUUGUCUCGUCAUGCUCGCCUGUUUCAUUGCACACUUCAUUAUCUUCAAAUCCAUUUUUAUCACCCUUGGAGUCAUCUGUGGAAUUUUCCUCAUGCUGCGAACCGUCUGCUACUACUACUACUACUUGUAUGAUAGACCAAAUGGCAAUGUUCCAGAACACACGGCCAUAAUGCAAAGCGUACUGGAUGAAUCACAUGAGUUCUUGACCGGCAUCACUGGAAUUCUUUUUCUGGGGUUCCAAGGUUUGACUCUUGAUGGUGACGUUCGGACAAUAAGUCGCAUGGGCGGGGAACCAAUGGGUUACAUCAGCUUCAUCUUCAUCACUCUAGGUGUGGGAUCAAUGCUCCUCACGAUGACCCCACCUAAAAGUUUUGGAGAGAGAAAAGUUGUGCGUCUGACUCUCCUCCUUGAUUGCUUCAUGGCGGGUGGU